rnacentral:rRNA from 1 species
CGGCGUGGAAACAUGCCUUUCUUCGGACGGACUGCAAGGUGCUGCAUGUUUGUCGUCAGCUCGUGCCGUGAGGUGUCAGGUUAAGUCCUAUAACGAGCGCAACCCCUAUCUUUAGUUGCCAGCAUUGAGUUGGGCACUCUAGGGAGACUGCCGGUGAUAAGCCGGAGGAAGGUGGGGAUGACAUCAAGUCCUCAUGGCCUUUAUGUCCAGGGCUACACACGUGUUACAAUGGGGGUGACAAAGAGUGGCCAAGCUGCGAAGCUGCGCAAAUCUCAAAAAAACCCUCUCAGUUCGGAUCGCAGUCUGCAACUCGACUGCGUGAAGUUGGAAUCGCUAGUAAUCGCGGAUCAGCACGCCGCGGUGAAUACGUUCCCGGGCCUUGUACACACCGCCCGUCACACCAUGGGAGUUGACAGGGGCAGAAGACGUUGAGCUAACCGCAAGGAGGCAGACGUCCAAGCUCUUGUCGAUGACUGGGGUGAAGUCGUAACAAGGUAACC